CCUACGGGAGGCAGCAGUGAGGAAUAUUGGUCAAUGGACGAGAGUCUGAACCAGCCAAGUAGCGUGAAGGAUGACUGCCCUAUGGGUUGUAAACUUCUUUUAUAUGGGAAUAAAACGUUCCACGUGUGGGAUUUUGUAUGUACCAUAUGAAUAAGGAUCGGCUAACUCCGUGCCAGCAGCCGCGGUAAUACGGAGGAUACGAGCGUUAUCCGGAUUUAUUGGGUUUAAAGGGAGCGUAGGUGGAUUGUUAAGUCCGUUGUGAAAGUUUGCGGCUCAACCGUAAAAUUGCAGUUGAAACUGGCAGUCUUGAGUACAGUAGAGGUGGGCGGAAUUCGUGGUGUAGCGGUGAAAUGCUUAGAUAUCACGAAGAACUCCGAUUGCGAAGGCAGUUCACUGGACUGCAACUGACACUGAGGCUCGAAAGUGUGGGUAUCAAACAGGAUUAGAUACCCGUGUAGUC
rnacentral:rRNA from 1 species